rnacentral:rRNA from 1 species
GAGGGGAAACGACAUCGAAAGCUGCUUUUGAUGGGCGUCGACCGGCGCACGGGUGAGUAACGCGUAUCCAACCUGCCCACCACUUGGGGAUAACCUUGCGAAAGUAAGACUAAUACCCAAUGAUAUCUCUAGAAGACAUCUGAAAGAGAUUAAAGAUUUAUCGGUGAUGGAUGGGGAUGCGUCUGAUUAGCUUGUUGGCGGGGUAACGGCCCACCAAGGCUACGAUCAGUAGGGGUUCUGAGAGGAAGGUCCCCCACAUUGGAACUGAGACACGGUCCAAACUCCUACGGGAGGCAGCAGUGAGGAAUAUUGGUCAAUGGACGAGAGUCUGAACCAGCCAAGUAGCGUGCAGGAUGACGGCCCUAUGGGUUGUAAACUGCUUUUAUAAGGGAAUAAAGUGAGUCUCGUGAGACUUUUUGCAUGUACCUUAUGAAUAAGGACCGGCUAAUUCCGUGCCAGCAGCCGCGGUAAUACGGAAGGUCCGGGCGUUAUCCGGAUUUAUUGGGUUUAAAGGGAGCGUAGGCCGGAGAUUAAGCGUGUUGUGAAAUGUAGAUGCUCAACAUCUGCACUGCAGCGCGAACUGGUUUCCUUGAGUACGCACAAAGUGGGCGGAAUUCGUGGUGUAGCGGUGAAAUGCUUAGAUAUCACGAAGAACUCCGA